AACGUAGGAGACAAACGUUAUCCGGAGUUACUGGGCGUAAAGGGCGUGUAGGUGGUUUCGUAAGUCUGGCGUGAAAUUUCUCGGCUUAACCGAGGCAGGUCGUCGGAUACUGCGGAACUUGAGGACGGUAGAGGCGUGUGGAAUUUCGGGUGUAGUGGUGAAAUGCGUAGAGAUCCGGAGGAACACCAGUGGCGAAGGCGACACGCUGGGCCGUACCUGACACUGAUGCGCGACAGCAUGGGGAGCAAACAGG
rnacentral:rRNA from 1 species